GCAAGCAGUAUAUGGACGCCUUAGAAGAAGCGCAGAAAACAACUACUGCCAAGCCAGGUAAAGGAAAACCAAAGAAGCACAAUGAAGCGCACUAGAAAGAAGUAUAUUCCUGACAGAAUUUUCACACUGGACUGUCAGUUAAAUUACCUUGCUUUUGCGAAAAUAAAAUAUCUUAAAAUUGCAA